rnacentral:rRNA from 1 species
UGGCCAGACUCCUACGGGAGGCAGCAGUGGGGAAUAUUGCACAAUGGGGGAAACCCUGAUGCAGCAACGCCGCGUGAAGGAAGACGGUUUUCGGAUUGUAAACUUCUGUUCUUAGUGAAGAAUAAUGACGGUAGCUAAGGAGCAAGCCACGGCUAACUACGUGCCAGCAGCCGCGGUAAUACGUAGGUGGCAAGCGUUAUCCGGAUUUACUGGGUGUAAAGGGCGUGUAGGCGGGGACGCAAGUCAGAUGUGAAAACCAUGGGCUCAACCUGUGGCCUGCAUUUGAAACUGUGUUUCUUGAGUACUGGAGAGGCAGACGGAAUUCCUAGUGUAGCGGUGAAAUGCGUAGAUAUUAGGAGGAACACCAGUGGCGAAGGCGGUCUGCUGGACAGCAACUGACGCUGAGGCGCGAAAGCGUGGGGAGCAAACAGGAUUAGAUACCCGAGUAC